UACAGACUGUUUGAACUGUUCGUUAGAGGUGCGUUUGUUUUGUGUCUACAGACUGUUUGAACUGUUCGUUAGAGGUGCGUUUGUUUUGUGUCUACAGACUGUUUGAACUGUUCGUUAGAGGUGCGUUUGUUUUGUGUCUACAGACUGUUUGAACUGUUCGUUAGAGGUGCGUUUGUUUUGUGUCUACAGACUGUUUACACUGUUCGUUAGAGGUGCGUUUGUUUUGUGUCUACAGACUGUUUGAACUGUUCGUUAGAGGUGCGUUUGUUUUGUGUCUACAGACUGUUUGAACUGUUCGUUAGAGGUGCGUUUGUUUUGUGUCUACAGACUGUUUGAACUGUUCGUUAGAGGUGAGUUUGUUUUGUGUCUACAGACUGUUUAAACUGUUCGUUAGAGGUGCGUUUGUUUUGUGUCUACAGACUGUUUACACUGUUCGUUAGAGGUGCGUUUGUUUUGUGUCUACAGACUGUUUACACUGUUCGUUAGAGGUGCGUUUGUUUUGUGUCUACAGACUGUUUGAACUGUUCGUUAGAGGUGCGUUUGUUUUGUGUCUACAGACUGUUUACACUGUU